GAUGAACGCUGGCGGCGUGCCUAAUACAUGCAAGUCGAGCGGACGAACGAGGCGCUUGCUUCUCUUACGUUAGCGGCGGACGAGUGAGUAACACGUGGCUAACCUACAUUUAAGACUAAGAUAACUUCGGGGGACCGGAGCUAGUACCGGUUAAUAUAUUGAACCGCAUGGUUCAUUAGUGCACGCCGGUUUUGCUGUCACUAGUCGAUGUAACCUCGCCGCAUUAGCUAGUUGGUACGGUAACGGCUUACCAAGGCAACGAUGCGUAGCUGACCUGAGAGGAUGAUCAGCCACACUGGAACUGAGACACGGUCCAGACUCCUACGGGAGGCAGCAGUAGGGAAUCUUCCACAAUGGGCGAAAGCCUGACGGAGCCACGCCGCGUGUGUGAAGAAGGUCUUCGGAUCGUAAAGCUCUUUUAGUUGGGAAGAACAAAAGUGUGAGAAAAUAUUGAUGUCUUGACGGUACCAAAACAGAAAGCCACGGCUAACUACGUG
rnacentral:rRNA from 1 species